rnacentral:tRNA from 1 species
GAGGGUAGAGCUCAGUGAUAGAGCAUGUGCUUAGCAUGCACAAGGUCCUGGGUUCAAACCCCAGUACCUCCA